GUUGCACUCGUCCUACAAGAGCUCCCAAAUUUGAACAUCACUGAUGUUCAUCGGAUUUACAGAGUGACGACAAACCCCGUCAGCAUGUGUAGAUAAAGGAUUUAAGUUAUAUGCUGCAUCAUAUAUACACAACUACGAAGUGUCCAAAAAAACACAGGUUGACAGGGGAGGUCGGUGUGAGAGCCCUGUGCUACAGGUCAAUGAGGAAGAGUGAGGCACCACACAGACUAAGUGUAGGCAGGAAGCUGUGUAAAGUUGUUAAUCCCUGUUCAGUGGGGUUCAGUUCAUUUAAGCAUUAGUUAAGUUCAUUCCUGAAGGCCCAUCAACUUGAAUGUUUUCCUUGUCCCCCUGCUUUAUCACACCUAAUUUGACUAGUCAGAUGUGUUUGGGUGAUCAGAAACAAAUUUACACCAAGUUAAUACUGCAAAUAUACACAAUCUAAGUUAUUACAGUUAUCAAGGAUGGUUAAAUUGUUUUAAUAGGGAGAGAAGGAAA